GCCUCGGUGGUGUAGUGGUCAAGACGCUCGCCUGGUCAUCAGGAGGGCGUGGGUUCGAUCCCAGCCGAGGUA
rfam:Asian citrus Psyllid, Diaphorina citri - Florida Strain, whole genome shotgun sequence.